UCUGUUUAUCGUCCAGACGACGUCUAUCGUCUAGUUGACACUUAUCGUUCGGACGACACUUAUUAUUAUUAGAUGUGGCCUGAGCUGACACAAUGGACGAUCACUUUGUAAGCUGUGGUGGAAAAGUGUUUCAUCAAGUGUGCCCGUGCCCGAUGAAAACGAUUGUGAAAGUAGUGAUGAAAACGAGGAACCUUUAAGCGACGAUGAGGCUGAUUUUGGUGAAAACAUUGAUAAUUGUGAUGCAGAAGAGAUUGAUGAUUCAACGGCAGACGAUUCUAUUGCAUUGAAUUAGGCAGUAAUCUUCUAUUGCCAAAAAAUUUUUGGUUACAUUUGCAAAAUACUUUCUUCAUUACCGCUGAAAUAAACUGUUUUCUCAUGA